CGUUCCCGGGCCUUGUACACACCGCCCGUCACACCACGAAAGCUGGCAACACCCGAAGCCGGUGGCCUAACCCGCAAGGGAGGGAGCCGUCGAAGGUGGGGUUGGUGAUUGGGGUG
rnacentral:rRNA from 1 species